UCCACGAGAUCUGGCUGACUGGAAAUGUCACAUGUAUCCCAAUGAUCAUGAUUUGAUUUUCAAAAACAAAACUUAAGGAAUCUGCGAUCGAGUUGGAUGCCAUAUAUAUACCCUGACAGCUGCACUAAUAAUCCUAAAAAGUUUUGAUUAUGAACUUUAUUCUGGAGAAAAUGUGCCUCAAAGAGACCUUUGUGAUGAAUUAAGACACUGUGUUAGGAUUUAAAAGAAUCUGAUCUUCUGGACACCUUGUGAGCAUAAGGAAGUGUACUCUUGAGAACCUUAUUUUUUAUUGGAGAACUGUACUUGAAAAUAAGCAUAGAGUAAAUUUGUAUUUACUAUCUAAUAAAGUUUUUAUUUGAAUCAA